CUCCCCCGGGAUAGCUGUCCUGUUAGAAUCAGAAAUCGGUGUGUUAUGACGUCCCGUCCGCGUGGUGUGAAGCGGCGCUGGAGGCUUAGUCGUAUAGUCUUCCGUCACUUAGCUGACCAUGGGCAACUUUCUGGGAUCCAGCGAGCGACAUGCCUCAACUCAAUACAGUUGUUUUUAUACUUCUUUUUCAAGUGAAAGGUAAAAACACUGGUUUAUUCUCUUCUGAACAAGGUUCUCAAUCUGUUACCCAAGCUGCAGUACAGUGGCAUCAUCAUAGCUCACUGCAGCCUUAAACUCCUGGGCUGAAGUGAUCCUCCAGCCUUAGUAGCUGGGAUUACGGGCGCCAGCCUUCAUGCCUGGCUUCAAUUGCUUUCUCUGAUCUAACUGUGUUGGCUAAUACCUCCAGGAAAAUAAAGUAAUGGAGAUCACAGGCACUGGUCCUGACUUCAGGGGGAAUAGGAGUAAUUCCUACUAAAAGCCUGAUUUUUCUGACAUACUCCUAGACAAAUAAAUCAUAAAACUGUUCUAAUGAAGAAAAA
rnacentral:lncRNA from 10 species